rnacentral:rRNA from 1 species
UACAGAGGGGGCAAGCGUUGUUCGGAAUUACUGGGCGUAAAGGGCGCGUAGGCGGCCUGCUAAGUCGAACGUGAAAUCCCUGGGCUCAACCCAGGAACUGCGUCCGAUACUGGUUGGCUUGAAUCCGGGAGAGGGACGUGGAAUUCCAGGUGUAGCGGUGAAAUGCGUAGAUAUCUGGAGGAACACCGGUGGCGAAGGCGGCAUCCUGGACCGGCAUUGACGCUGAGGCGCGAAAGCCAGGGGAGCAAACGGG